GUUUUUCAUUUCAGAAUUGUUCAACCAAUAAAGGUAACUUUUUGGGGAGAGAAUGUGUUAAGAGUGUCGACAUUUUUUCCUCAUUUUUUUUAGUGCGACGUGUUUUGGCGGCAAGCUGGGUGACUGUUUGCAAGGUGUUCGAUGAAAUGCCUCACUGAAUUUAUUAAGUAGUCAUAUGGAAUUAAAAGAACUCGUGAUUUUUGCUUCAAGAAAACAAAGAACUCAAGGUUUCUAGAUGCGGUGAACACUACCAGUUUUAUCACGCCACAUAAGCAAAUCCCACUAAAAAAAGAGGGAAGCUGAAAUUUUAGGGAAGAUGCUGAAAAUGGCCUUAGGAGUCAGGUCUUUCUGUUGUUGAAUCACUCUGUCAGAACAUUCUUGAAGCUGAUAUUGUUCUCUUUGCUUCUCCUAAGCAAUUACUCUGUGUUUUGUAUGUCAUGUCUUCUCUUUUGCCUUUUAUAUUCUAUUAAUUCUUGCAAUAUAACCAAAUAUUCUAGUGUUCUAUCACAAAUUAGGUACUUGAUUAUCCUACCAGUAUAAUUUCGUAAAGAUAUGUUUUGCAAAAUUUCUAUCUUCUGAGUAUCAUUGUUUUCCUGGUAUAUUAUGUGAAAAGAUUAUUAUGUUUAAAAAUUAGUUCCAAAAUUGGUUGAGUUGUGAAAUUCUUUUGCUAAAUUGCAAUCAUAGAUUGGUCAACAUUAAUAAAAUUUCAAGUUUUGAUUGUGAAUAUUGUGAACUUAGUAGUUGCCAGUUAGAGAACCCAUGUUAACCUUUUAAAGUUGAAUAUGAACUAUUGUAAAUUUAAUUUCUGGUUUUUUGUAACAUGUGAUGUAAUUUGGAAAUAAAAUUGGCUGCAGA